AUCCUGAGUACGACGGAGCACGUGAAAUUCCGUCGGAAUCUGGGAGGACCAUCUCCUAAGGCUAAAUACUCUCUAGUGACCGAUAGUGAACCAGUACCGUGAGGGAAAGGUGAAAAGCACCCCGGAAGGGGAGCGAAAUAGAACCUGAAACCGUGUGCUUACAAGUAGUCAGAGCCCGUUAAUGGGUGAUGGCGUGCCUUUUG
rnacentral:rRNA from 1 species